AUUGAACGCUGGCGGCAGGCUUAACACAUGCAAGUCGAGCGGAGUGAUGGUGCUUGCACUAUCACUUAGCGGCGGACGGGUGAGUAAUGCUUAGGAAUCUGCCUAUUAGUGGGGGACAACAUCUCGAAAGGGAUGCUAAUACCGCAUACGUCCUACGGGAAAAAGCAGGGGAUCACUUGUGACCUUGCGCUAAUAGAUGAGCCUAAGUCGGAUUAGCGAGUUGGUGGGGUAAAGGCCUACCAAGGCGACGAUCUGUAGCGGGUCUGAGAGGAUGGUCCGCCACACUGGGACUGAGACACGGCCCAGACUCCUACGGGAGGCAGCAGUGGGGAAUAUUGGACAAUGGGGGGAACCCUGAUCCAGCCAUGCCGCGUGUGUGAAGAAGGCCUUAUGGUUGUAAAGCACUUUAAGCGAGGAGGAGGCUCUUUUGGUUAAUACCCAAGAUGAGUGGACGUUACUCGCAGAAUAAGCACCGGCUAACUCUGUGCCAGCCGCCGCAGUAA
rnacentral:rRNA from 1 species